AAUAACCAUUUCUCUGUAUCUAGUGAUUAUUCCAGUUUGCUAAUAAUUUUUUAUUUUUGUGUGAAUUCUGUACGAGUUAGGUAGGGACAUAAUUAUUCCAUAGGUACUUAUUGUUUUUGUGGAAACAGUGUUGAAGGAGUGUACAGAAUUUUUUCUUUGUGUUUUGGCGGAGAAUUGAAAGAACAUUUUACAGUUAAAUAUUUUACUUGGAAGUUAGGUAAGUAAGAACAAUUGGCUAAGAUUUAUUUUUUGAGUAAAUUAUUCUUGCAAUACUAUGGUAUGGUAACGUAAAAUAUUCAGAGUAAGAAUGCCUAACUAUUGGUUUCUUUGAAGAAUAUCUUUGGUCUGUGAUAUUAGAAUUCUAGAUGAUGUUCAUUAAUUCAUGAAGUGUUGAUAAUCUGCCAAACUUUUUUUCCAACCUGUGUUAAUUCAGUUAUUACUUACAGACAGUGAGAAUAUGUUUGGGCCAUGGCAUUAGUGUUUUGGUGAAGUAUUUCAUCGCAGUAGUAGUUCAAGAGUAUUGCCUUUGAUUGUGUUUGAGGACCUUACGCUGAUACUGUAUGUGGACACCAAGUGAAUGCAAUCUUUCAAAGUAGAGUGUUGUACAGUGUAUGAACCCGCAAUU